rnacentral:rRNA from 1 species
AGAGUUUGAUCAUGGCUCAGAAUCAACGCUGGCGGCGUGCCUAACACAUGCAAGUCGAACGAGAAAGUGGAGCAAUCCAUGAGUAAAGUGGCGCACGGGUGAGUAACACGUGACUAACCUACCCAGGAGUGGGGGAUAACUGAGGGAAACCUUAGCUAAUAUCGCAUAACACCUACGGGUCAAAGGAGCAAUUCGCUUCUGGAGGGGGUCGCGGCCGAUUAGUUAGUUGGCAGGGUAAUGGCCUACCAAGACGAUGAUCGGUAUCCGGCCUGAGAGGGCGCACGGACACACUGGAACUGAAACACGGUCCAGACUCCUACGGGAGGCAGCAGUGGGGAAUUUUGCGCAAUGGGGGAAACCCUGACGCAGCAACGCCGCGUGGAGGAUGAAGUCCUUCGGGACGUAAACUCCUUUCGAUCGGGACGAUUAUGACGGUACCGGAAGAAGAAGCCCCGGCUGACUUCGUGCCAGCAGCCGCGGUAAUACGAGGGGGGCGAGCGUUGUUCGGGAUUAUUGGGCGUAAAGGGUGCGUAGGCGGUUUGGUAAGUCUUAUGUGAAAUCUACAGGCUCAACUUGUAGUCUGCAUGAGAAACUGCCGGGCUUGAGUAUGGGAGAGGUGAGUGGAAUUCCUGGUGUAGCGGUGAAAUGCGUAGAUAUCAGGAGGAACACCUGUGGCGAAAGCGGCUCACUGGACCAUAACUGACGCUGAUGCACGAAAGCUAGGGGAGCAAACAGGAUUAGAUACCCUAGUAGUCC